rnacentral:rRNA from 1 species
UCCGUAGGUGGCGAGCGUUGUCCGGAUUUACUGGGCGUAAAGAGCGCGCAGGCGGUCGUACAAGUCGCGUGUGAAAGCCCCCGGCUCAACUGGGGAGGGUCACGCGAUACUGUUCGACUCGAAGGCAGGAGAGGGAAGCGGAAUUCCCGGUGUAGUGGUGAAAUGCGUAGAUAUCGGGAGGAACACCAGUGGCGAAGGCGGCUUCCUGGCCUGUUCUUGACGCUGAGGCGCGAAAGCUAGGGUAGCAAACGGG